AAACACUGCAUACAAAGGACUCAUCUUAGGCUCAAUACAGGAGAGUAGGCAACAGUGAGUCAUGCGGGACCACAAUCAACCGUUUCAGCUGCAGAAAUCCCACUUCCACCUGCCUGUCAAAUAUUCCAAGCCAUAUGAAGACAAAACCAGACCUUGCAACAGCUCGACUAAUUUUCUGCCUGCUGGGACACGCCGCCUCUGACUGCGAGGGACAAGAAGAGAAACAUAUCUUCAUUUAUCACUAAGUGCAAUGGAGGACCUAGAGACCUGAUCCUGAAAUCAUUCGAAUCCUCUAUAAAACGUCUGCUUUAAAACAACCCGUUUAUACAGCAACUGCGAUGCUUUCUGGCAUCGGAUUGUGAUUUUAGUUCAAGUACUGAAAAUACAUUGACACUACAGAAUAGUUUUCCCCACGUGAUUUAACUGAUUAGAGGCUCAUUUGCAAAAGAGCUCCUACCUGAUGGACUUGUAUUUCCACUUUCAGGGCCUCCUGUAAUGUUUGCAAUUCCAUCAUUGAUCCAGUUCACCAGAAAGAGUGUCCCAGGAAACUUUCAGCCUGUCUAGAGAAAUCAAACAAGAGAGGUUUUGCAGACUUUUUUUCUAUUUUAUGUAUUUAAGCUUUAUUUUGCAAGAUGCUCGGCGGUUGACUUAAUCCAAUACCACCACGAAGGGGGAACACAAGUCGGUAUCUAAUCGGGUUUGAGAGAAAAAAUGUAAAUCGAGGCGUGAUUCAUGAUGUCUCAGGUGGAAGUAAACAGACACGCUUUAUUCAGUUCACAUUCUGCAACUCAACACUGCAAGAACCUCUUGUUUAAGUUCAAAAAAGUAUUUUG